rnacentral:rRNA from 1 species
AAUCCAUAGGUUAAUGAGGCGAACCGGGGGAACUGAAACAUCUAAGUACCCCGAGGAAAAGAAAUCAACCGAGAUUCCCCCAGUAGCGGCGAGCGAACGGGGAGGAGCCCAGAGCCUGAAUCAGCAUGUGUGUUAGUGGAAGCGUCUGGAAAGGCGCGCGAUACAGGGUGACAGCCCCGUACACAAAAGCGCAUGUGCUGUGAGCUCGAUGAGUAGGGCGGGACACGUGGUAUCCUGUCUGAAUAUGGGGGGACCAUCCUCCAAGGCUAAAUACUCCUGACUGACCGAUAGUGAACCAGUACCGUGAGGGAAAGGCGAAAAGAACCCCGGCGAGGGGAGUGAAAAAGAACCUGAAACCGUGUACGUACAAGCAGUGGGAGCACCCUUUGGGUGUGACUGCGUACCUUUUGUAUAAUGGGUCAGCGACUUAUAUUCUGUAGCAAGGUUAACCGAAUAGGGGAGCCGGAGGGAAACCGAGUCUUAACCGGGCGUUAAGUUGCAGGGUAUAGACCCGAAACCCGGUGAUCUAGCCAUGGGCAGGUUGAAGGUUGGGUAACACUAACUGGAGGACCGAACCGACUAAUGUUGAAAAAUUAGCGGAUGACCUGUGGCUGGGGGUGAAAGGCCAAUCAAACCGGGAGAUAGCUGGUUCUCCCCGAAAGCUAUUUAGGUAGCGCCUCGUGAAUUCAUCUCCGGGGGUAGAGCACUGUUUCGGCUAGGGGGCCAUCCCGGCUUACCAACCCGAUGCAAACUGCGAAUACCGGAGAAUGUUAUCACGGGAGACACACGGCGGGUGCUAACGUCCGUCGUGAAGAGGGAAACAACCCAGACCGCCAGCUAAGGUCCCAAAGUCAUGGUUAAGUGGGAAACGAUGUGGGAAGGCCCAGACAGCCAGGAUGUUGGCUUAGAAGCAGCCAUCAUUUAAAGAAAGCGUAAUAGCUCACUGGUCGAGUCGGCCUGCGCGGAAGAUGUAACGGGGCUAAACCAUGCACCGAAGCUGCGGCAGCGACACUGUGUGUUGUUGGGUAGGGGAGCGUUCUGUAAGCCUGUGAAGGUGUGUCGUGAGGCAUGCUGGAGGUAUCAGAAGUGCGAAUGCUGACAUAAGUAACGAUAAAGCGGGUGAAAAGCCCGCUCGCCGGAAGACCAAGGGUUCCUGUCCAACGUUAAUCGGGGCAGGGUGAGUCGACCCCUAAGGCGAGGCCGAAAGGCGUAGUCGAUGGGAAACGGGUUAAUAUUCCCGUACUUGGUGUUACUGCGAAGGGGGGACGGAGAAGGCUAUGUUGGCCGGGCGACGGUUGUCCCGGUUUAAGCGUGUAGGUGUGUGUUCCAGGUAAAUCCGGUUCACUUUAACACUGAGGCGUGACGACGAGGCACUACGGUGCUGAAGCAACAAAUGCCCUGCUUCCAGGAAAAGCCUCUAAGCAUCAGGUAACAUCAAAUCGUACCCCAAACCGACACAGGUGGUCAGGUAGAGAAUACCAAGGCGCUUGAGAGAACUCGGGUGAAGGAACUAGGCAAAAUGGUGCCGUAACUUCGGGAGAAGGCACGCUGACACGUAGGUGAAGUGAUUUACUCAUGGAGCU